rnacentral:lncRNA from 1 species
AAUUUGCGUUGUAGCCAAUCCCAAUUUCCUCUUUCCAUUUCAAAAGAAAAAUAAAAUGUUUAGGACCCACAAAAUAGAGCGUGAUCUAAAAAAAUAAAAUGGGCGUGGACCUCGUACCAUCCAAAUUAUGAUGAGCUUUUUAUCUGUUAAAGAUUGAGAGAUGAUUUACAACACCUACCUCAACUAAGUCCUUCACCAACACUUUACAGCUUAUCAUCACCAGCCACCAACUUUCGCUGUUUGUUUGCUUUGUUUUAUUCGCUGUUAUCAAAUAUUAAUGGAUUCGUUGAUGUAUAAGUCGCUUAGAGAGAAGUGAUUUUAU